UACGAAGGGGGCUAGCGUUGUUCGGAAUUACUGGGCGUAAAGCGCGCGUAGGCGGCUUUGCAGGUCGGGUGUGAAAUCCCCAGGCUUAACCUGGGAACUGCAUUCGAGACUGCAUUGCUAGAGUAUGGGAGAGGGAAGUGGAAUUUCCGGUGUAGCGGUGAAAUGCGUAGAUAUCGGAAGGAACAUCAGUGGCGAAAGCGACUUCCUGGACCAAUACUGACGCUCAUGUGCGAAAGCGUGGGGAGCAAACAGG
rnacentral:rRNA from 1 species